rnacentral:rRNA from 1 species
AAAUUGAAGAGUUUGAUCAUGGCUCAGAUUGAACGCUGGCGGCAGGCCUAACACAUGCAAGUCGAACGGUAACAGAAAGCAGCUUGCUGCUUUGCUGACGAGUGGCGGACGGGUGAGUAAUGUCUGGGAAACUGCCUGAUGGAGGGGGAUAACUACUGGAAACGGUAGCUAAUACCGCAUAACGUCGCAAGACCAAAGAGGGGGACCUUCGGGCCUCUUGCCAUCGGAUGUGCCCAGAUGGGAUUAGCUAGUAGGUGGGGUAACGGCUCACCUAGGCGACGAUCCCUAGCUGGUCUGAGAGGAUGACCAGCCACACUGGAACUGAGACACGGUCCAGACUCCUACGGGAGGCAGCAGUGGGGAAUAUUGCACAAUGGGCGCAAGCCUGAUGCAGCCAUGCCGCGUGUAUGAAGAAGGCCUUCGGGUUGUAAAGUACUUUCAGCGGGGAGGAAGGGAGUAAAGUUAAUACCUUUG